GUUGCGGUUAUGAGCUGCUAACAUGUAAGAAGAGGUCGCUUUCAUAGUGGUGUCUCCAAUGAAAUCCUUUUAUCAUGGUUGACUUCUGAGCAUU